GUGUCAGCCGCCGCGGUAAUACGUAGGACGCAAGCGUUGUCCGGAAUUAUUGGGCGUAAAGAGCUCGUAGGCGGUUUGUCGCGUCUGCUGUGAAAAUCCGAGGCUCAACCUCGGACCUGCAGUGGGUACGGGCAGACUAGAGUGUGGUAGGGGAGACUGGAAUUCCUGGUGUAGCGGUGGAAUGCGCAGAUAUCAGGAGGAACACCAAUGGCGAAGGCAGGUCUCUGGGCCACAACUGACGCUGAGGAGCGAAAGCGUGGGGAGCGAACAGGAUUAGAUACCCUUGUAGUCC
rnacentral:rRNA from 1 species